rnacentral:rRNA from 1 species
UACGUAGGGUGCAGGCGUUAAUCGGAAUUACUGGGCGUAAAGGGCUCGUAGGUGGCCAACUAAGUCAGACGUGAAAUCCCUCGGCUUAACCGGGGAACUGCGUCUGAUACUGGAUGGCUUGAGUUUGGGAGAGGGAUGCGGAAUUCCAGGUGUAGCGGUGAAAUGCGUAGAUAUCUGGAGGAACACCGGUGGCGAAGGCGGCAUCCUGGACCAACACUGACACUGAGGAGCGAAAGCCAGGGGAGCAAACGGG